CCUACGGGUGGCAGCAGUGGGGAAUAUUGGACAAUGGGGCGAACCCUGAUCCAGCCAUGCCGCGUGUGUGAAGAAGGCCCUCGGGUUGUAAAGCACUUUCAGUGAGGAAGAACGCCUGGUGGUUAAUACCCAUCAGGAAAGACAUCACUCACAGAAGAAGCACCGGCUAACUCCGUGCCAGCAGCCGCGGUAAUACGGAGGUUGCGAGCGUUAAUCGGAAUUACUGGGCGUAAAGCGCGCGUAGGUGGCUUGAUAAGCCGGUUGUGAAAGCCCCGGGCUCAACCUGGGAACGGCAUCCGGAACUGUCAAGCUAGAGUGCAGGAGAGGAAGGUAGAAUUCCCGGUGUAGCGGUGAAAUGCGUAGAGAUCGGGAGGAAUACCAGUGGCGAAGGCGGCCUUCUGGACUGACACUGACACUGAGGUGCGAAAGCGUGGGUAGCAAACAGGAUUAGAUACCCCGGUAGUC
rnacentral:rRNA from 1 species